AUGGCCGCCGCCGCCGUCCUCCUUCGCGCCGCCCUCCGCCGGAGCCGCCCCGCCGCGGCAGCCCUCCUCCCCCCCCGUACCCUUCCUUCCCCGCCAGUUCCGCUACCUCCCCCUCCUCUCGGUAAGAUUCCGCUCCCCUCCCAAACCAAACCCUUGAACCCUCCUCGUCUCACCGUCCAGCUCCCCGAUGCAGCCUGUGCUUUACCUCUCCUCCCGCGCCUUCCAUUCGCCGCCGGCUUCCCGUACUCCACCGUUGCAGAGAUAUCGGAGGCCCCCGCGAAGCCCAAGGGCAAGCCAAAGAGGAGCCCAAUGAAGCAGUCCCGCGUCGACUUCACCAAGGUGGACGCGGCGCUUCUCCCCACCAUCAUCCUCGUCGGCCGCCCCAACGUCGGCAAGUCCGCGCUCUUCAACAGAUUAAUACGGAGGAGGGAGGCAUUGGUGUAUAAUACACCUGGAGACCAUGUCACCCGCGACAUCCGAGAAGGAGUUGCCAAGCUUGGAGAUCUCCGUUUUCGCGUGCUUGACUCAGCCGGACUUGAGACUGCAGCAACAUCUGGGAGCAUUCUUGCUCGGACGGUUGAUAUGACAGGGAAUGUGUUGGUCAGAUCUCAAUUUGCCAUUUUCUUGAUUGAUGUGAGGGAUGGUCUACAACCGUUGGAUCUUGAGGUCGGGCAAUGGCUGCGAAAACAUGCAUCUGGUAUACAUACCAUUGUUGCAAUGAAUAAGUCCGAGUCACUUGAUGAGCAUGGAGUUUUGACCUCGGCUGCUGGAGAAGCCCACAGGUUGGGUUUUGGUGACCCAGUUGCAAUAUCUGCAGAGACAGGCCUUGGGAUGGCAGAGCUUUAUGAGACACUCAGGCCAUUGUUUGAGGAAUACAUGUUUCAACUUCCAAAUAAUGGACUAAAUGAAGAUGACCCUACCUCCGAGGCUGAGGCCAAUGAAGGUGAUGAAAGCAAGUUACCUCUGCAGUUAGCAAUUGUGGGACGUCCUAAUGUUGGGAAGUCGACCCUGCUUAAUGCCUUAUUGCAAGAACAAAGAGUUCUGGUUGGUCCAGAGUCAGGCUUAACAAGGGACUCCAUCCGGGCUAAGUUUCAAUUUGACAACAGAACUGUAUAUUUGGUGGAUACUGCUGGUUGGAUGGAAAGAGCGGGAAAGGAGAAAGGGCCAUCAUCACUAAGUGUGGUACAAUCAAGAAAGAACCUGAUGAGAGCUCAUAUUGUAGCUCUUGUGCUUGAUGCAGAGAAGAUCGCAAAGUCAAAGAAUAGCGUGGAUCAUCAGGAAGUUAUGAUAGCACGGCAAGCAAUCGAAGAAGGCCGUGGACUUGUUGUGGUUGUCAACAAAAUGGAUCUCCUUAGAGAAAACCAACGAUUAUUAGAAAAAGUGAUGGAUGCUGUUCCUAAAGAAAUCCAGACAGUUAUUCCUCAGGUUACAGGAAUACCAGUUGUGUUCGUGUCAGCAAUGGAGGGCAGGGGGCGGGUUGCUGUUAUGCACCAUGUUAUAGAAACUUAUGAGAAAUGGUGUUUUAGAUUGUCAACUUCGCGCCUGAACCGUUGGUUGCGUAAGGUUAUGAGUAGACAUUCAUGGAAAGAUUCAGCCACACAGCCAAAAGUGAAGUAUUUCACUCAGGUGAAAGCGCGGCCACCAACAUUUGUCGCCUUUAUGAGUGGGAAGACUGAGCUAUCUGAUACAGAUAUCAGGUUCUUGACAAGAUCUCUCAAGGAAGAUUUCAACAUCGGGGGAAUACCAAUCCGGAUCCUACAGCGUUCUAUUCCAAGAAAAGUGUCGUCUUUCAAGAGUAAUAUCAAGAAAAGAGGAUCUAGUAUAAAAAGGAUGAAAACAGACAAAAGAACAGAAGUGUCUGAUCCCACUCAGUCAUGCUUUUACGAUGUCACAAAAGCACCUCCCGAUUCUCAUAAAGGACCUGGUAUUUGUGUACCGUUCAGAAGGGAAGUCAUUAGUCAUGACGUACAUACUUCCGUUGGAGUUAAAGAUGCAGAGGAAAUCCCUGUCAUUAUACAGACUAUCAGAGGAAACAGAAAGCUGCCGCCUUCCAAGCACAGCAUGUGGACAGAAGAAAGGGGGGCUGAAGUGAUCAACAUUUAA
rnacentral:rRNA from 1 species